GAUACAGGUUAAGAAUAACUCAUCAAAUCCAUUCGUCCAUUAUACGUAAGAUUGAAUCGAUUCGAGUCCAUGUGAAUCUUUAUAAAAAAAAUUUUCAUCAUUUACUUAUCAUGGUCAUGAAUUUUAGGACUCAGUCUCAUGAAUCACAUAGGACCUCUUUCUAUCUAUCAGGGUCGACAGAUUCCAUCUUGGUACAUAUUUUAUUCCUACAA
rnacentral:lncRNA from 1 species